rnacentral:rRNA from 1 species
AUUGAACGCUGGCGGCAGGCUUAACACAUGCAAGUCGAGCGGAGAGAGGUAGCUUGCUACCGAUCUUAGCGGCGGACGGGUGAGUAAUGCUUAGGAAUCUGCCUAAUAGUGGGGGACAACAUUUCGAAAGGAAUGCUAAUACCGCAUACGUCCUACGGGAGAAAGCAGGGGAUCUUCGGACCUCGCGCUAAUAGAUGAGCCUAAGUCGGAUUAGCUAGUUGGUGGGGUAAAGGCCUACCAAGGCGACGAUCUGUAGCGGGUCUGAGAGGAUGAUCCGCCACACUGGGACUGAGACACGGCCCAGACUCCUACGGGAGGCAGCAGUGGGGAAUAUUGGACAAUGGGCGCAAGCCUGAUCCAGCCAUGCCGCGUGUGUGAAGAAGGCCUUAUGGUUGUAAAGCACUUUAAGCGAGGAGGAGGCUACUUUAGUUAAUACCUAGAGAUAGUGGACGUUACUCGCAGAAUAAGCACCGGCUAACUCUGUGCCAGCAGCCGCCGUAACAC